AGAUUAAGCCAUGCAAGUGUAAGCUCAAGCCUAAAGAUGGUUAAGCCGCGGAAAGCUCAUUACAACAGCCAUAGUCUACUUGGUUUUUACUUGGAUAACUGUGGUAAUUCUAGAGCUAAUACAUGCAACCAAGCUCAGGCCUCGGCCGACGAGCGCAAUUAUUAGAACAAAACCAAUCGGGUCUCGGUCUGGUGACUCUGAAUAAACCAGCGGACUGCACAGUCUUUGCACUGGCAGCUUUCCAAUCUCUGUUUUAUCAGCUGUCGAUGGUAGGUUAUAUGCCUACCAUGGCUAUUACGGAUAACGGAGAAUAAGGGUCGA
rnacentral:rRNA from 1 species